rnacentral:piRNA from 1 species
UGAAGCUUGUGGCGAACCCCUGGACUCUGUGU